rnacentral:rRNA from 1 species
AUUGAACGCUGGCGGCAGGCCUAACACAUGCAAGUCGAGCGAGCGGCGGACGGGUGAGUCAUGUAUGGGGACUGCCCGAAAGAGGGGGAUAACUACUGAAAACGGUGGCUAAUACCGCAUACUAUCGAAUAACCCAUAUGGGAUUAGCUAGUAGGUGGGGUAAAGGCUCACCUAGGCGACGAUCGCGAGUUGGUAUGAGAGGAUGAUCAGCAACACUGUGACUGAGACACGGCCCAGACUCCUACGGAGGCAGCAGGGGGGAAUAUUGCACAAUUGGCGCAAGCCUGAUGCAGCCAUGCCGCGUGUAUGAAGAAGGCCUUAGGGUUGUAAAGUACUUUCAGCGGUGAGGCGUUACCCGCAGAAGAAGCACCGGCUAACUACGUGACAGCAGCCGCGGUAAUUC